rnacentral:rRNA from 1 species
AUUGAACGCUGGCGGCAGGCCUAACACAUGCAAGUCGAGCGAGCGGCGGACGGGUGAGUAAUGUUUGGGUAACUGCCUGAUGGAGGGGGAUAACUACUGGAAACGGUAGCUAAUAACGCAUACUAUCAGAUGUGUACAGAUGGGAUUAGCUAGUAGGGGGGGUAACGGCUCACCUAGGCGACGAUCCCUAGCUGGUCUGAGAGGAUGACCAGCCACACUGGAACUGGGACACGGCCCAGACUCCUACGGGAGGCAGCAGUGGGGAAUAUUGCACAAUGGGUACAAGCCUGAUGCAGCCAUGCCGCGUGUGUGAAGAAGGCCUUCGGGUUGUAAAGCACUUUCAGCGGGGAGGCGUUACCCGCAGAAGAAGCACCGGCUAACUCCGUGCCAGCAGCCGCGGUAAUAC